GACUUUUUAUAGUUUAUAAGCAUGAUGAUUGGGUGUUCCUCUGUGUGUGUGUGUGUGUGUGUGUGUGAGAUGUGCCAUCCACAAACCUUGUUAUGAAGUCAGCACAUUGUGCAUCUGACA
rnacentral:snoRNA from 1 species